UACGAAGGGGGCUAGCGUUGUUCGGAUUUACUGGGCGUAAAGCGCACGUAGGCGGAUCGUUAAGUCGGGGGUGAAAUCCUGGAGCUCAACUCCAGAACUGCCUUCGAUACUGGCGAUCUUGAGUCCGGAAGAGGUGAGUGGAACUCCUAGUGUAGAGGUGGAAUUCGUAGAUAUUAGGAAGAACACCAGUGGCGAAGGCGGCUCACUGGUCCGGUACUGACGCUGAGGUGCGAAAGCUAGGGAGCAACGGG
rnacentral:rRNA from 1 species